rnacentral:rRNA from 1 species
GACGAACGCUGGCGGCGUGCCUAAUACAUGCAAGUUGAGCGCUGAAGGUUGGUCCUUGUACCAACUGGCUGAGCAGCGAACGGGUGAGUAACGCGUGGGGAAUCUGCCUUUGAGCGGGGGACAACAUUUGGAAACGAAUGCUAAUACCGCAUAAAAACUUUAAACACAAGUUUUAAGUUUGAAAGAUGCAAUUGCAUCACUCAAAGAUGAUCCCGCGUUGUAUUAGCUAGUUGGUGAGGUAAAGGCUCACCAAGGCGAUGAUACAUAGCCGACCUGAGAGGGUGAUCGGCCACAUUGAGACUGAGACACGGCCCAAACUCCUACGGGAGGCAGCAGUAGGGAAUCUUCGGCAAUGGACGAAAGUCUGACCGAGCAACGCCGCGUGAGUGAAGAAGGUUUUCGGAUCGUAAGACACUGUUGGUAGAGAAGAACGUUGGUGAGAGUGGAAAGCUCAUCAAGUGACGGUAACUACCCAGAAAGGGACGGCUAACUACGUG